UUUUAAAAAUACUUGUUGGUGCGCCUAGUGACUGCACGAAUUGUAUGGUCCCCAGGAGUUUGAGAUUGAAAAUACGAUGUGCCGUUGAGAUUGACAUCCAAUGAUCGAGGAAAACAAAACACCUGU